CAGGACUUGUGACAAUUCAGAUGUGGUUUGUGAAAGAAAGAGAGGAGUCAAAGAUUUAUAAUAAAGCUGUUUGGCCUGAGCAACUGGAAGGAAGGUGGUACCAUCCAUGAAGAUGGGGAAGAAUGAUGUGAAGCCAAUUUGGAGAAAGAUCAAGAGGCAAACCACUUCAAUCGAACGUGGCUGGCAGCCAUAUGGUGGCGUAUGAAUCCAACAACUAAUUUAGUAAAGAAAACUGCUUGUAACAAGUUCUGUAUAUGCCAUCCCAGGUAUUACUUUGAUGAUAAAUGAGGAGGUGAUUGCCAAGAAAAUGAUAGUGACAUUUAUAAAAAGCCUAUUGCUUUCCUGGAUGGUUCCUUCUGCUCUGACACUUGGAGAAUCAAAGCUCUAGCCAGAUGGCUAUCAUUCUUCACAUGCAGGGAGCAUGUAUGGUGUGUAGUUAGAGUUCUUUUCCUUGGGAAUUCCUUGGCAUCAGGAAUGGAUAAAAGGGAAAGCAAAAGUAUUAGGGUAUUUUGUGAAUUUUAUUUACACUUUACUGAAAAGUGACUGUUUAACCUCUGUCUGCCGAAAUUAAACAUGCCAUAGCCAUUCAUAGACAUGAGAAGCACACAUCUGUAGCAACAUGAAGACGGUAAGGAAUAUUUCCUCUG